rnacentral:snoRNA from 1 species
GAUAAAACUAAUAAGCUUAUGAAUAUAAGGGCAUUAAUAAUGUUAGAUAUAAUAGAACUUAUCAAUUAAUUAGUU